rnacentral:rRNA from 1 species
GAUGAACGCUCGCGAUAGGCUUAACACAUGCAAGUCGAGGGGCAGCAUGGUCUUAGCUUGCUAAGGCUGAUGGCGACCGGCGCACGGGUGCGUAACGCGUAUGCAACUUGCCUCACAGAGGGGGAUAACCCGUCGAAAGACGGACUAAUACCGCGUACACUCUAUGUUGGGCAUCCAAUGUAGAGGAAAUGAAAUUCGCUGUGAGAUAGGCAUGCGUCCCAUUAGCUAGUUGGUGAGGUAACGGCUCACCAAGGCGACGAUGGGUAGGGGAACUGAGAGGUUGAACCCCCACACUGGUACUGAGACACGGACCAGACUCCUACGGGAGGCAGCAGUGAGGAAUAUUGGUCAAUGGGCGAGAGCCUGAACCAGCCAAGUCGCGUGAAGGAUGACUGUCUUAUGGAUUGUAAACUUCUUUUAUACGGGAAUAACAAGAGUCACGUGUGGCUCCCUGCAUGUACCGGAUGAAUAAGCAUCGGCUAACUCCGUG